UGUCUGACUUCUCGGCGAUUUUUACGAUCUAACUUCAAGAUAAAACCCCUAUCCAUUUGACAUCUAAAUGUCAUAGCGACUUUUGGGAUAGUUUGCUAUGGACAAAGGGGGACAAAGUCAAGGGGUGAGGGGGAAGGAGGGCCCAGGAGAGCCUCCAGGACCCUCGGCAGCCUCCUCACCAGCUCCCCCUCCCCCCCAGUCCUGUAAGAAGUUGGGCCAAGCUGGAAGGGAUUGACCGGAUGCUCACCACCCUUCUGUCUGUCACUCAGCAUCUCUGCAAUCCCUCCCACAUCUCAUGUUUGUAUCACCGGCUUGCUGCCUACAAGCUUUGGUGUGAGUGAGAAUGUACACCUCUGACUGUCUCACUCUCUCUCAUCGAAGGAAAAUGAGCUUUGGAGCCAGGCUGGAAGACGGAGCCAAGGUUGCCUGUCGCGAGAUGGAGCCGCAAAGGCAGGGCCUGGGCGCCUGGAGUCCAGCAUGAAAGGAAAUAGCGCCUCAUCGCUCUUAUCUAAGCCCAGAGCCGCCUCCUCGCCCUUGCUGGCCUCUGCGGAGAUUCCAGGCCCUCCGGAGACCAGGAGACCUCAGCGGCCACCGCCCCUCGUGCCAAUGCUGCCGGGAAACCACCGAUACCCGCACCGGGCAAGAGAACUGCGCUGGGGGCCACUGGAGGAGGCGGGAACAAGGGAGGGAUGGGGGGAGGGGGAGGGGGCGCAAACCCACAGAGGCCAUAGCAACCGGCUUCUGCCGGCGCCCCCCCCAAGCCCAGACGCCCCCAUUCUCUCUUUCGCAGCCCCCUUGCUUAAACCUCUCCUCCCAGCUUAAAAACGAGACUCAGAGCUCACCUCCGUGGCCCUCUUUCGGUUCCUCCUGUGGUCAGCCCUGCCUUGCUUCCCCUCCAGGAAGCAGCCGCCCCUCUCUAGGCCACCCAAUUUCCUGGGAAGCCUCUCCCUGCAGCGCCCAGAGGUGGGGUUCAGCCCCAUCUUGGAGGGGGGAGAAGGAGGGAGACAAACCCAAGCCCCACCCCCACAAAAUCAAUGCAAAAAAUACGAGAAUUGUAGCAUCUCCCUUACCUUUGCAGACCUUGGGAUUUCUUUCUUCCGAUUGAAAGGGGUGGGGAGAAAGGAAAGGGGAAAAAAAAAAAAAAAAAAAAAGAGCGUUUGGUUUCUUCUUCAUCUUCCAGAUAAUAUUGUCCCAACCUGAGAGCCGUUGCUUCCUCUUCUCUGACUUGGAAGAGAGGGUGUUUCGCUUUUCUGAUAUUUGCAUAUAAAAUGGAGUAAGUUCUGGCUUUGAAAAAUGGUAUCAGGCUGCAGUCCUGGGCAGGUGGUCCAUUUACACUCCAUGAUGACUAAAAUCCCAGAUCAGCAAGCAAAUUAACUUAGAAAUGAAAAUUAUUUUUGAUUCUCUCUUUUGUGUAA